rnacentral:tRNA from 1 species
GCCGCUAUCGUCUAGGGGACUAGGAUACCGCCCUCUCACGGCGGAGACCCGGGUUCGAAUCCCGGUAGCGGUA